rnacentral:rRNA from 1 species
UACGAAGGGGGGCUAGCGUUGCUCGGAAUUACUGGGCGUAAAGGGAGCGUAGGCGGACAUUUAAGUCAGGGGUGAAAUCCCAGAGCUCAACUCUGGAACUGCCUUUGAUACUGGGUGUCUUGAGUGUGAGAGAGGUAUGUGGAACUCCGAGUGUAGAGGUGAAAUUCGUAGAUAUUCGGAAGAACACCAGUGGCGAAGGCGACAUACUGGCUCAUUACUGACGCUGGAGGCUCGAAAGCGUUGGGGAGCAAACAGG